UGGGAACCUUCACUAUGGUUCGGAAUAGCUCAGGGAAACUUGGGGUAAUACCGGAUAAGCCCUUCGGGGGAAAGAUUUAUCGCCAUUGGAUGGGCCCGCGUCGGAUUAGCUAGUUGGUGAGGUAACGGCUCACCAAGGCAACGACGGGUAGCCGGCCUGAGAGGGUGACCGGCCACACUGGGACUGAGACACGGCCCAGACUCCUACGGGAGCAG
rnacentral:rRNA from 1 species